GCUCUGGAGGGAGAUGUUGACCUAGACGGUAAAAUGUCCCUAAAGCGAGGGAAAGAGACCUGGGAACGGCCAGGAUGGAAGGCGGUUUGGUCAGAGAGCCGCGUCUUUUUCUUCUGGCAUGCUGGGACCGCCGGGCUCCGUCUCCUUGCUCGUCACCUGCCUAAAACAAGCGUACAGUUCCCCUCGUCCCUGCUGCCUCCCUCAGACUCAGCAAGUCUCAGAGAGCUCUUGGGGUACAGAAGUGCUUCUCUCUUCUCUCUUUCACAGAAAACGACCCAUCUAUAUUCUUCUCAGUGAACCAAAGUCUUUUAAUAGGACAUACACGUGUUUGUCUACUCUUGGAAGUGAGAGUCAGACGAGUAUUCAAGCUGACUGGGCUGUAAACCAUCUGGAUUUUUAAAAAGAAAGAGUGAGAGAGGAGAGAGAGAGAGGAGGGGAGAGGGGAAGGUGUAGGAAGGGUAAGAAGCCUGUGCAAUGUGCAGAGAGAUGAGAAAGGGACAAAACUCAGAAAGGAGAAGCUGAGUCCCCAAGGGAAAGCCAGGCUUUGUUGGAGCUGCUGCCUCACUCUUCACACCCCUGCAAUGCCCUCCCUUACUCCUCACACCCCUGCAAUGCCCUCCCUUACUCCUCACACCCCUGCAAUGCCCUCCCUUACUCCUCACACCCCUGCAAUGCCUCCCUUACUCCUCACAUCCCUGCAAUGCUUCCUCAUUCCUCACACCCCUGCAACGCCCUCCCUUACUCCUCACACCCCUGCAACGCCCUCCCUUACUCCUCACACCCCUGCAACGCCCUCCCUUACUCCUCACACCCCUGCAACGCCCUCCCUUACUCCUCACACCCCUGCAACGCCCUCCCUUACUCCUCACACCCCUGCAACGCCCUCCCUCACUCCUCACACCCCUGCAACGCCCUCCCUCACUCCUCACACCCCUGCAAUGCCCUUACUUGCUCCUUAUACACCCCUAUGUGCCUUUAGACUCAUUAGUACUUAUACACAACUGGGAAUCGGCUCUUGUACCGCCCCAAAUUCUUUUGCUGUUGAGGACAGCGAGGGAUGGAAGAGGUGAAUCAGUUCUCAGAACAGAGGGAUGCUAAGAUGGAGAUGCCCACUCACCUCCUUUUAGACACCUGGUGCCAUUGCUUAGAAACUGUUUGGUCAGCGUCAUGGUGAGUGUACUGAAAGAUCUUCAUCUUUCUGUUGUAUCGUUAUGAUCAUAAGAUAGUGAUACACAGAAAUAUUUGGAUUCUGGAUAAUGACUGCUGUGACCCAAACAAGAAAAACCGAUAGUCUCUCUGAGAUGCUUCAGAAUCCAAAGCCCAGCCUCACAGGCUGUCAUGACCAGCACUAGAGGUACAAAUGGCUUUUUUUUUUUGAGACAGGUUGUAUGUUAUAUGUUCCCAUUGCUGGCCUCAAACUCAUGAUGCAGCUCAAGUUGGCAAGCCUUCUUCUGAUAGAUUCCAGGAUCAGAGGUGAAAUUUCUGAUUCUGGGGGUCCAAGAGGAAAUGACGUGCUAGGUGGGCUAGCACCCCCUACCUGGACAAAUAGCCCUUCCUUUAAGGUUUGUUUAUUAUUCAUUUAUUUUUAUGUGUCUGGGUGUUUUGCCUGGAUGUGGGUUUGUACAUCACGUGCGUGCUUGUGUCCUCAGAGGCCAGAAGAAGGUGUUGGAUCUAGCGGGGCAGUUGUGAGCUGCCAUGGAAGUGUAGGGAAUGGAACCCUGCCCUUCUGAGGACCAAGCAGUGUCAUUAGCUUCUGAGCCAUCCCUCUGGCCCUUGUUUGUUUGUUUGUUUGUUUUUAUCUGAGUACCACAAAAAGUACUAACAGUGACGAAGACAUGGCGUUCCCACUGUGUGGAGUUCUGAAUCAUUUCUUCAUUGUGAAAUAAGAAUCUAAGGACUGAUCCAUUGGGGGAACUCACCACUGAGUUUGUUCACAAUAAAUCUGAUAAAGUUCA